GCACACGGCACGUGGCUGCCUCACCUUCGGUGGUCGAGGGUGCGGUUCCCACCCUGGGAGCAGACUUCGCCGUUAUGGGCGCUGCCCUGGGGGCAUGCGGCGUGGAUGCCACCGGAUGCACCGUGCAAACAGCGGCCUUCCUCUGUAUCGACUGGGCAAGGUCCCAGUCCUGUGGGUGAACACGUCGCUUUACGGCAGCGUGUGGGCUCCGAUGAGAGAGGAGGGUGGAGAGAGACACAUGGAUCUGAGAGAGAAACGCAGACUGGCUGCCUCCCGUUCAUGCCCUGACCGGGGAUGGAACCCGCAACCCGGUGUGUGCCCUGACCGGGGAUCAAACCUGCAGACUUUCAGUUAUGGGACGAAGCUCUGGCCACCUGAGUCACACCAGCCAGGGCUCUGUGCACUUGG